CUAACCGUGCAAAGGUAGCAUAAUCACUUGUUCUUUAAAUGAGGACUUGUAUCAACGGCAUCACGAGGGUUUAACUGUCUCCUUUUUCGUAUCAGUGAAACUAAUCUCCCCGUGAAGAAGCGGGGAUAACUUUAUAAGACGAGAAGACCCCAUGGAGCUUUAAACCCAACUACACUCCCACUAACCUUACUUUUUAACCCUCGGGACCCUGUAUGUUCUGGCUUUAGGUUGGGGUGACCACGGAGCAUAAAUUAGCCUCCACAAUGAAUAGAUCUCCUCUUUAUCCAAGACCAACACCUCUAAGAAUUAGUAUCCUAACAUAAAAUGAUCCGAUAUUCGAUCAACGAACCAAGUUACCCUGGGGAUAACAGCGCAAUCCACUCCAAGAGCUCCUAUCGACAAGUGGGUUUACGACCUCGAUGUUGGAUCAGGGUAUCCUAGUGGUGCAGCAGCUACUAAAGGUUCGUUUGUUCAACGAUUAAAACCCUACGUGAUCU
rnacentral:rRNA from 1 species